UCCCUGCUGGCUCAGACGGUAAGGAAUCCACCUGCAAUGUGGGGGACCCAAGUUCGAUCCCUGGGUGGGGAA
rfam:Ovis aries breed Texel chromosome 13, whole genome shotgun sequence.